GCGGCAAACGGGUGAGUAAUAUCUGGGAAUCUACCCAAAAGAGGGGGAUAACUACUAGAAAUGGUAGCUAAUACCGCAUAAAGUUGGAAAACCAAAGUGGGGGACCUUUUAGGCCUCACGCUUUUGGAUGAGCCCAGACGAGAUUAGCUUGUUGGUAAGGUAAAAGCUUACCAAGGCUACGAUCUCUAGCUGGUCUGAGAGGAUAACCAGCCACACUGGAACUGAGACACGGUCCAGACUCCUACGGGAGGCAGCAGUGGGGAAUAUUGCACAAUGGGCGAAAGCCUGAUGCAGCUAUGCCGCGUGUAUGAAGAAGGCCUUAGGGUUGUAAAGUACUUUCAGCGGGGAGGAAAAAAAUAAAACUAAUAAUUUUAU
rnacentral:rRNA from 1 species